GUUAGCUCAGCGGUAGAGCGUUUGACUCUUAAUCAAAUGGUCGAGUUCGUUCCCCUUUU
rnacentral:tRNA from 14 species